rnacentral:lncRNA from 1 species
CCAGAGGGCGGCAGAGCGCGGCUCCCGCCGGUGCCUCCCGGUAUCCCCGCGCUGUGCCGGCGGCAGGGGGCACGCGGGCCGCCCUCUGCGCCUCGGAGCAAUCAGCAAGAGCCUUGACAAGCUUUCAGGUUUUCAGAAAAUCAGAAAUUCAACUGAAAUGGAAGGAGGAAACUCUGAAACAGGUUUCCCCUGGCAAUCCUGGCAUUGGAUCUUGUGAAGGAAACACCUGGCCCUUGGACUACACAAAGUCUAACAUCAGAGGCGCCAAUCAGCACUGUGAUGGUGAGCCAGAAAGGUCUGCAGCAUGCUUGCUGCCAUCUUAAACCUUUCAGCUUUGGUUUUGAUAGAACUUUUCCUGUUUCAGUUAUGCAUUCCAAAAGCUGAAAGCGUCUGGCGAAUGAAGCAAGAAACUGCACAAAGGGAAAGUCUGGUGAUUCAGUCAGCUGCUCCAUGCCCAGAGAAGUGGCCUACGGCCCUGCCCUUCCCACAGCACUCUCCAUUCCUCAUGCUGGUGGCCAGCCAUCUACUACAGACAUUACUGAAGAGCAGUACUUGCAUCGUCGCCUUUAGGCAACUGAAAAGUAUGACUGACAUAAAAAUCCAGAGCUUUCAAAUCCAGAGGCCCUCAUUGCUGGUAGAAACAAGAGAGGGAAAUAUAUUCAUAUUCUAGACAGGCACUAGAGAGAGGUUCUCUGCUUGAAACUGGACUAAAUCUACAGCUUCAUACAUCGACAUGAAGGGAGGAGUAACUCAGCACUUCUCUCUCCAGCAUCACAAGGCUCUGAAGUUUUAUGCAGGAGAAUGAAUGUCUACCAUCUUUCAAGGCAGCACAAGACAUGCACCAGCCCUCAGACCCCACAGCCUUCCAGCAAGCGCUCCAACAGCGAGAUGGGGCCUCCCUCCCAUGGACAGGAGGGGAGGCAAAACCAGGACCUGCUGGGGCCGAGAUGUUGGGUCUGUGGCUGACAGGUGUAUUAAAGCAUGCUGGCAUGAAAUGUCAGUUUUUCUUCUAGUGAAUAAACAGUUUCUUUCUUUAUGGUAACUGGUGACAGUGACAGAAGUAGCACAAAACUAUUAUUGCAGACACUGAAGCUAGGAUAGUAUGGGCUAAAUAUAGUACUAUAUGCCUAAGGUUAUAAUCUCGUGGAGUUGAAAUGUAUUUCACAUGCUUGAGUUUACAGUGUUCUCUGCUUGCAUCAACGCAGGUUCUCCCUUGCACUUCACCACCUCCUCCUCUCACCCUUGGGCCCUCUAGCUCUCCGAACUCCAUUUUGUUCUGGGCACAUGACAAGUCUGAGCUCAGACUGAGACUGUUUCUCAACGUUUUUUUUUUUUAAUAAGAAUUAAUAGCAGCAUGAAUAAUGAGGCAGAAGGAAUAACGUGCCAGUAUACAAUCAUGCUGCAAAUGGUUCAAACCAUUAAACCAUUUUAGGUCCUCUGUGGCCAAUUGCUGGGACCUGGACGGAGGAGGAAAAAACAAUCGCAUUCUGCCAGAAGUUGUUAAAUUCCUGCGAGCGAAUGCGGUCCUGACUUAAUUAUCACUUCCAAGAGCCUAUUUAUAGUUGUCUGGGAAAGCACUUAAGAGAAAUAGGCUUAAGUUUGCAAACAGAGUAAGUGGGUGAGUAUUCCCAGCAAAGACAGAGAGGGGAGAGGCAACCCCCUGCCCUUCCAGUCCUCCUAGUGGGAUGUCAGCGCAGGAAUUCCAUGCUGAUGGGACCAGCUCCUUGGCUCACCAAGUUCCUACAUGGAAUUUUAGAGAUUCGAAAUCAUAAAUGUUGCACAACUUACUGAUGAGCUUCAAACUUGGAAGUUUCCUGGGACAGAACAGCCCCUAGGAUGGCAUACAAAGCAUUUCUUGGGUCUCCAGGACAAACAUAUACAUAUAUAUAUAUAUAUAUAUAUAAAGCUUCACAUAAUUAUAAACAUCCAAAAUGCUUUGAUAGAUGACAUGCUAAAUCUGUACAUGUAAAUGGUUAGCAGGCUGGGGCUGCAGUAUGAAUAACUGAAUUUGUCCAGGGAAACAUGGCCAGUGGGAUUUCCUGAGUACAAGAACUUACACUGGUCUCAGCAAGCAAAUACUGACAGCUGAUAAAUAAGCACAGAGAAAUGGUAUAUGGGAAUGGUAUAUGGGAACGAGGAAGAGAAAUUUACAUUGCCUUUAUCCCAGGCCUUUUGGAGACAAAUGAGUAGGUGCUAUGAAAUGGAGAGUCAGAGCGGGACGUGAAAGCUGCCUGUAAGCAGGCCUGCACAUGCAGAGGAAUUGAUUUAUAGUCAAAUCCAUUGCUACAGUUAUUUAAUACCUAACUACUGCCUAUUUCAUAAUUUCUCUGCUUGUAGCUGAUAAACUCUUAUUAAGCUGUGAAGCAUGGAGGAGUAGCAUAUCUUACUGUUUCUACGUAACGUGGUAUCUUUACAAUGUUCCAUUCAAUAACUCUACCUGUAUAAUGUGUACUAAAUCAAUUUGGUCAUGCCAUGGAAUUUCAAAUUUGCAGUACAAAAGCACAUUACAUACGUAUUUCAGUGUUUUAUGGGCAUAAUUGUGUGUGAACAAAUAGCUACAUAUACAUUUUAUUGCACCAAGUAUCUUAAGCACUUAAUUUGCACUCAUGCAAAGGCUAACUACAGCCUCAACCCUUGAACUAACAACUCUGGAAGGGACUGUUCUCUCCCUGUCUCCUACAUUACCUGCAUGUUCCACAGGUCAGCUUUAUUUGGCAGAAGUUGUUCCUGCAACCCAUCUACUCAUAUAGCGCGUUAUGGCGGUGCAGCUCUUGGGCCUUUUAAUGUUAUUUCCCUACCAGAAAGUGAAGCACCAAAUAACAGCCUGUUGUUAUUUCUUUGUCUGUAUGUGGACUACUGACCCAGAAAGCUGUAACUAUAGAUCUUCCCAGUUCCAUUUAACUGGAAUAACCACAAGGAAAAGAAGAGAGGAGAAAAAUAUCAAUGACUGCAAAAACCAAUCAAACUACUGCUCCUUUUCUCAGAUGGUCUUGUUUUUAUUGGAGGAAUAAGCCUUCUCUUAAAUUAACACCUCCUGAUAAAAUACCGUUGUUUGUGGAAUCUUUCAGUAAGACUCCAUGUGAGAUUCAGACUUAUCCCCUAUUUUUGCCACUGAUAUUAGAUUUUCAGUCUAUCUACUCCCUGUGUGGAAAUACCCUGCCCCAAGAACACCUUACCACAUCUGUUGAGUGUGCAGGGCCACUUGCCUCCUUCCCCUGUACGUACACACAGCUCCCUCCUCUGUCACACCCAGUGACUUUACAUUUCUGCUUUGCUUCUCAGCACCCUUCACAUCUGGACUUGGGCCAGAGGACAAUCACUGACAGACCUUCUGCUUCUGGAGCAAAUAAGGGUUUGUGGUUUUGGUUGGACUAAAGAGAUUUUCAGAACAUUUUAUUUCCUUUAUAGUGGGUGACUGUUGAUAACACAUCCUACUUCAUGCUGCAUCUCUCCAUGUUGUCUGUUACACCACUGCUGAACCUCUAUGUCACCCAUGGGGAUUGGUGCUUGCCCAGUUCCCUUUCCAUGCUAUCCCUAUUGCUAUCCAGGACAGAUUGCUCAGCAGAAAAGCAAUUCAGUCAGCUAAUGGGCUGCUAUAUGCAGCAUGCAGGUUUAUUUGUUUUGGAGAGGUGAGCCCCCCACAGCUGUCCAAGCUUGAUAGAUGACUUUGAUAGCGAUGAUGGGGGAGCCUUCAUUCUGCCAUUCUCAAAGACAUCUGUGUUCACAGAGAAAUGAGAAAGCUGGAGCUUGUUAUGUACCAUCUACAGUUAGAAGAGCUAUCUACAUGUUUGAUUGAAAAUGCUACCACAUAACAUAUAUAUAAUUAUGGACUUGGUUAUAAGAGGACGUCUAAUGGAGCAGAUGUGUACAAAGGAUAUUUGACAAUAAAAACUGAACAUGGCAAGGGAGCAUGUAUGAAGGAAAGCUAUUCACUUUGAGCCAGUGGGAGCAGGCGUGCCUGAGGAACAGCGAAUGUGUGAACUGUGGUUGAAGGUGG